AGAUCAGGAACAUUCAAAUAUCUCUGUUAGUGUAUGGCUAUAUGACAUUUUGUGGGUAGCGAUUUUUAAAAAAAAAUGUUUUAUACAAAUUUGUUCCUGAUAUUUGUAGCACAAUGGACUACUUCAUCAACUGUUUCAGCAUGCACGAAGUUUACUGAUGAGCCAAAUUUAAUUGCUACGGGCAUGGUAGAAGGAAGAUGUAUGUAUGGUUUUUCUGUUGGUUAUCAGUAUAAUCCUGCUAGGACUCUGUGUGAAUCAGAAGGAACCCAACUUGUUACUUUACAAUCUGAGACAAAACAAGAAGCGGUGUGGACAACCCUUGGUUCAAAUUUCGGUCAGCAUUGGAUGGGACUGGAAAAAACAAAUGAUAUAUGGCAAUGGAAUGAAAAUGGUGUUUUAAUAGAUGUGACGUCCACACGAUGGGAGAAUGUCCAAAGUUCAAAUAAUGUCGCCUACACGAUGUCUUCUCAAGAUAGAUAUUUAUGGAAGAUGACGAAUACUGAUAGUUGGUAUAAACCUGUAUGUGAAGAAAUCUCAGAUACCAGCAGCAAUGCCUUUUUAGUAUCGGACACAGAAACCUCAACUGUUGCGUCUCCUACUACGACUACAACACUACCAGAUACCAGCAGCAAUGCUAUUUCAGUAACUGACACAGAAACCUCAACUGUUACGUCUUCUACUUCGACUACGACGCCAGGAACAAAAAAGAUGUCAAUUUUGUUUGUCCGUCACUUGCAGGCGUUGAAUAAUGUGGUCGUAUAUAAAACUGUAACUGCUGUCAGCGCUAACCAUUGUGCUGUGCGAUGUUUAAUGUUUAGUCAAUGUCGUUAUUUUAGACUUGUGAUGGCAGAUGGUCCAAACUGUGAUCUUAUGGAAGUAAACUCUGCAACUUUUGCAAACUAUGAUUGUUCAGUCCAUAAGUGUUAUAAGCGAUCUCUUGUGUAAUAAAGAAUGAUCAAACCAACUGACCAGGCCCGAUUUCCAUGUAUGCGUUUCCGCCGGCGUAGAAGUCGGUUUGAUGCAAAUGUAAUGGGCCGCUUCCAUGGGGGCCCUAAACGGCGAAACGCGCAGGGUAGCUCCGCCAAAACGCAUACAUGGAAAACGGGCUUUACACAGAUUUCCGAUCAACGAUGUAUUAUUAUGUUAGCGAAAACGCGCUCUGGAAAACGGGCUUUACAUAGAUCUCCCAUCAAUGAUGUAUAGUUAUGUUAGCACGAAUGACGUAGGCUACUUUCAGUUUGAUAGUGUCAGAAACGUCAGAAUCUAUGGACCAUGAAUUUGGCCCCAAGCGUUACCCAUGCCCCACAUGUUGUCCCUGUUAGUGUUGUUGCUGUUCGUCUUCUUCUGGGGGGAGACGCUCGUCCAAACGAAGCCUCAGACUCCGCCAAUUCAAUUUCGACUGAAUGAGAUCUGGCAUGUUUGUUUAUUGGAAAAUUGUGCAUUGAUUGCAGACUUCAGUUUUUGGUAUGACGAAACAAAACCUAGAUGACGUCAUAUCCGGUCCUUGUUUAAAUCGUCCAAAUGCUAAUAUAAUAUUGGAUCAUUUGAACUAGAUAUGUCACAUAUGUGUAAUAAACGUUAAUUACCUGUUACAAUGUGUCAAUUAUAAUAUUCGGACUAUCCUCGUGUAUCAAAAUAACUAGAUAUGUGUCAUUAACA